rnacentral:rRNA from 1 species
GAUGAACGCUGGCGGCGUGCCUAAUACAUGCAAGUCGAGCGAACAGACGAGGAGCUUGCUCCUCUGAUGUUAGCGGCGGACGGGUGAGUAACACGUGGAUAACCUACCUAUAAGACUGGGAUAACUUCGGGAAACCGGAGCUAAUACCGGAUAACAUGUUGAACCGCAUGGCUCAACAGUGAAAGACGGUUUUGCUGUCACUUAUAGAUGGAUCCGCGCCGCAUUAGCUAGUUGGUAAGGUAACGGCUUACCAAGGCAACGAUGCGUAGCCGACCUGAGAGGGUGAUCGGCCACACUGGAACUGAGACACGGUCCAGACUCCUACGGGAGGCAGCAGUAGGGAAUCUUCCGCAAUGGGCGAAAGCCUGACGGAGCAACGCCGCGUGAGUGAAGAAGGUCUUCGGAUCGUAAAACUCUGUUAUUAGGGAAGAACAAAUGUGUAAGUAACUAUGCACGUCUUGACGGUACCUAAUCAGAAAGCCACGGCUAACUACGUG